UACUUAUCGAGAAAGACCGAGGGAAGGGCCCUAUGACGUCUUAGCAACCUGAAAAAACAAGGUGCUAAAUCCCUUUUCGGAAUAGCCGGAAAAAGAUGAGUG
rnacentral:ncRNA from 2 species